UGGUCGUUUAUGGAACGCUGUUCUCCGUCUAUCAAAUUAAUGAUGAGAAUGUUGUGUCAAAACGACCAAUAAUAUAUACUCAUAUACAACAAAUGCGUACCUGUCAAUUGGAACAAUUGGGUGAUAGCUUUGUUUCCUAAAAAAUAAUGAGUUGCAAAAUAUAUUUAAGUACUACAUAUUCAUAUGUAUUGGAAGCUUUACUUCCAUUUUUUCAACUUCUGCAAAUUUUGAGCGUUCAAAUUGAAGGUUACUUAUUAUUUGAAAGCCUUGAUAUAAAAAAUAUGUAUGUUUUUUUAAUAUAUGGGACAAAAAAAAACUCGGAUGUUUAUCUGUCAAUUUGGGAAUUUACGUGCCUAUGUAUAUGAAUCACAAAUUAGCGAAUGUUUUCCGCUGCCUCUUAAUUGAUUGACAUUUUAACAUGCUGUUGCUUACCAUAUAUAUAUACCUGUUACCUUUUCGUACUAAGUUAAGCCGGAGAUCAUUUUUAAUGCGGUAGUGUUGGCUCUUUUGCACCCAUUAAGUCGUCAAAAUGAUUAUUAUAUGAAGCAACAUGCGAAGCUACUCGCUUUUAUAGAAAUACAUAUCCAUACAUUCAACGUUGUUCCAAACUCCCAAUUAUUCCGGCUUUGUAUGUCAUUUGUCAGAUUACUUAGUGCCGAUGCUAUUGUGCAUUCCCAAGCACCAUGAAGUACGACUAUUUUCAUAUACACAUGUUCACGGAAUAUGGUGUUCCAUAUAUCACAGCAUCCCCUAGCGAGCGGCGCUUAUACAGUAGUUGAACGAGCGAGAGAGCGAGUGAGUGUGAGUGAGUGAACCGUAACGAGUAAAGUGGGCCGCCGUGAGAAUUAUUCGAUUCAUUGUUGCUUGGACGUGGCAGCCAUGACGUGAUUUCUGAAUUCGACUUGGGGAACUUGAUUGUGAAAAUAUCCAUAAAUUCCUUAAAAAUUGCGUUUUUAUUCGCGUAAAUAGCUAAUAAGGUGUGUAAUGAUAUUAUAACAUUGAUUGCGAGUGAAAAUUUAGUGUUUAUGGAACAGUGGAGUGAUUAAUUAUAAAAUUGUGAAAUUUUAAGACAGCAAAAACACGUAUAAGAGAAAAGCACUUUCAAAUCGCAAAACACACGUAGUUUAAAAAUCCCAAGGAAUAAAAGAGUAAACCGGAAAGAAUUCAAUAUUAGAACGCCAAUAGUCCAAAUUCACCAUCAACAACACCAUGCCACCAGUCAGCCAAACAUCAAUUCAAUCGCAACAAUUGACAAAAUAAUAACAAAACAAAGUGCAUUCACGAAAAGAAGACAAAGUAGAGUGUGAGGAAAGAGAGAUAAGGCGGCAUUGAGUUUAAAAGAGUACUAUUUUGCAGUUCAUCAAACAUACAAAAUUUUCGUCAUCACGUCAGCAGUCAAUUUGUAUGCUACAACAAGACUCCAAACAUCUUACAUUUCGAUUUGAUUUCGUUCAUCAGGUCAGUUGUAAUUGCACUUUAAACCACAAUACAUCAGUGUGGACGUCCCCGAAAAGUACAUAAAAACUGUUUCUCGUCGCGCAAACCCCCUUCAAAAUUCAUUUACAAAAACAACAAGGAAAUACAGCGACUAGCGGAGAUUGAAAGCAAUUUUGGCAAUCGUCAAAGAAAAAAAUAUAUAUUAAAAUAUACGUAAACAAUACCGUAAUAUUAGUAUAAGCAACAACAACGAAGCAGUAGUGAUCGACAAGUACUCGCCAGAGAGAAGCUGAGAAUAAGUUCCAGCGAGUGAUUGCAAAAGUAACUACAACAACAAAUAAGCGAGCGGCGGUAGAGUCAACUCGAAAAUAGUCAUAUUUGUACAAAAAUCAAAAGAUACAUCAGCCGUUUUGUAUGUGUUUACGUUUAUAUACAACACACCCAACACCGCCCCGCUACACCAAAUUCAUUUUGUUUUGUCAUUCGCUCGUUAAUGCAUAAUUCACUCGUCGUUUUUCAACGAACGUGUUUAUUAGCACAGCUGGUAAAGUUACAGGUAACCAGCGAUUUUUGAGAGAAUGAGAGAGUGGCACCAAGACUAUAAAAUUUAGUAAAUGAUCGAUUUUAUGAGAGGGUGAAUAUACAUAUUCGUAUGUUAAAUAACACUAUAUAAGAAACUGGUUUGUAUUACAAGAAAAAGGAAAGCAAAAAAUUUGCUUAACAACGAACAUCACAAAAUCUGUUGGCCUGAAAAAAGGAAAUUCUCUCCCAAGACAAACCAACAGAAUUAAUUAUACGUUUGUUGUUUUGUGUCUAAAAGUUGCUUGAUUAGGGUGCAAUUUUUUAGAAAAAAUCAUAAGUGCCUGUCAAAAAGGGGAAAGAGCGCAGAUUGAAAGAGUAUAAAAGGUCGGAGAGUGAUCACGCCGUGAAUUGGAGAAGAAGAGUGCAUGAAAUAGAGAGAGCGUAGAUAGAGAGUACAAAUUGCAAACUUGUUUCAUUCGACUUUGUGCUGAUUGUCAAUAUAAAAAUAACAACAACAAUUAGUGACAGCAACGUACAAGCAGUCGGGAAGCAACAACAAGUGAUACAAAGCACGUACUAAACUGAAAUUAAAGUAGCAGUAACAACAGCACGAGCACAACAACAACGAUAAAAGCAAGGCAAGCAAAGCAGCACUACCUAACCAAACAACCAACCAACUAGCCAGUCAAGCAAGCAACCGCUUGGAAAACAACUCGUUUCGAUUUCGUUUCACAGAUACCUUUCGGACGUCGAUAAAGAUACCUUUAAUUUAAAAUGAACUUAAAUUAACAUAUACUAUAUAUGAUUGCGUCGCGUACAUCAUAUAAUCGUGUGGAGAGAGUAGAGUGAUUGAAGUGUUAUUCAAAAAGUUAUUUAGUUUUUUAGAAGCCGAAAAAUUCACGCAAUAGAAAAUUGUACAAAUUAUCAACGUAAUAAGUGCUCCAUAAAAAGUGUGACUUCGAAACGUAGAUUUUGUGCUGAAACUGAUCAAAAUUUUGCAAGAAUAAAAUUAAUGAUAAGUUUUUUUAAUCAAAAAGUAAAGCAGAAGGACAGUAUGGUAGAUACAUGAAAAAUAUUUCAAAAAGAGCAAAAGAAGCAAAAAAUCAUAAAAACCACUAAAUCCCCAGAGCACCAAGAGCAAAUCCAACAAUAACUAAUUGAUGAAACGAGCAAAAAUUUCGCUUAUAUUGAAAUGAGACGUUGACAAAAACAACAGGAGAUAUAGAAGAAAUAAAAACACGCAACGCUAUUGUUUUUUUUUUUUUUUUUGUAUUUUUUUUUCAUUUUGACAUUCUACAAGUGUAUGCAUAUUGAAUUAAAUAUAUAUUAUAAAAACCAUACACAAAUGACUUUUAGCAAUAACAACAGUAGCAGCUGAAAUUCGUCGCAACGUCGCCACAUAUCUAUAUACUACAUAGAAACAAAGCGAAAAUCUACUAGAGCCAAGUACGUACUGUUGUCUUGCUUCAACGCACCAAAUGUAGGCAGUGACAAAUGGAGAUACGUACAACGUAUCUUGCAGAUACCACAACUGUUUGUAUUUUCAUCAGCAGUAGUUGUAGUAGCAGCAGCAACAGUAGCAAUCACAGCCACAACUAUAACUACAGCUAUAGCUAUAAUAGUAGUGGCAGUAAAUACCAACAAAAACAACGACAAAAUCUACAAUAAAAAGAUAAAAACAACAAUAGCCAAUAAAAUUACAAAAAAUAAAAUAUCUAUCGCAGUGACAGAAGCAGCGGCACCAGCAGCAACAAAAUCCAUGCCUACCUUAACCCAAUUAAAUAAUUUCGUUAUUUAACAAGAAAAUUGCUAUUACUUUGAGUACCAACCAUACCAGAAUUAAAUUGUCUCAGUCGAUUUUACCCGUGAAAAAUAGAACAGAACAUUAAAAAAUUAUCACGUCGAACAACGGUGAGCGACUACCAACAGCUCCAACAAGGGCAUAACUAAUACACAAAUAGGACACACAUAAGACGGUGAAUAGCGGCUGCGAAAAAGCCCCCCUAAUACAAACAGUAAACAGAUCAGCAGGCGUGCCUGUGUCUGUGACCAUUUUUUUUUUUGCACACCCCGUACGCACACAAUAAAGCGCGAUCCACCGUCGAAUUAAUUAGAAAAAGAAAGAAGGCAAAUUUUUUCGUCGCAGUAUUGCUUAUAGAAUCCAAAAACUUAUAACUAUACUAUACAUAUAACAAGAGAAACAUAUUAAAAGUUUAAUCAAAAGCAUAAAAUUGCAUACGAUCCAGACGCGUCAAGAAUUUUCGCCAUAAUCGCUGAUCCUAACCAAUGAAAAUCACGCGUAAUCAUCAUUCACAGUGGAUACGGAAGUGAAUAAAACAAUACACAAAAAUAGUAUCUAAGAAAAGUUACUGUUCAUCGUGAAAUCAAAAAUUUACAACAAUAAAGCCAAAUACAAUAUCGUACCAACAAAGACCAAAAAAUUAGAGGUGCAGCUACGACUAAAAAACUUGUCGAUAGACACAACAUAAAAAAAAAAUUUAAGAAUUUUUCAAAACGGUUUGUCCUCCAAACAAUACUAGAGCAGACGUUAACAAAAUACACGUGGAAUUAUUGACUUCUCCACAGUAAACACUACUAAUUGCAGUACGUUUAUUUUUAUUCAGCACUUGUAAAAAGUUCCACAAAAACUAUUCAACUGAAAGCGAGUAAAACUCUAUGAAACAUUUUUUAAAUCAAUAAUCAAAAUAAAUAUAACUGAAAAGGUUGAAAGAGAACUACUGCAAUACUACCACGUCCUAAGAGUUUGUAUUGUUAAAAAUCUACUAAAGCGGCCAACGAUAACUCUUCCACGGUUGAUGCUUCCUACAGAAAAAAAAUUAAUACAUAACUCGAACAAACGUUAUACUUCCACAGUCGCAAAUUAAACUCCAAGCACUACUUAGAAGCAGAUAUAUAAGUAUCAAAGGAAAAAGUAACUCACCUGCGCCAAAAGUAUAUCUAUAUCAACGUAAAAUUGUCUAAAUCUAACAGAAUAGGAUAUCAUAAACAUCUUAAGACCUGCAAGUGUUAAACGAGUGUGAAUUAUCUAUAGAAUUAAACACAACCAAUAACCGCCACGCAGUUUGAUUGUAUUGCGUUAUGACAAAUUCGAUUGCCACUGCAAAAUGCCCUUCAGCACUUACGUCCGGCAACUAUGGCAUGUCACAAAAUCGUUACUCCGAUGAAUCUAAGGACUAUUUUUUUGUUAAACUCACAGAUUCAGCAUACCGCGCUAUCGAGGAAUAUCAACACAAUGAGAAUAGCAAACGCUUCACAAAUGGUCAACGUCCCAAAAUACAAGUCAAUGGCAAUUCCGGUGUCAUCUAUUUUCCCACAUUGGACAGCAAUGAAGGUCGUAAAUUUGGUUUUACUAUCGAUGAUAUUGAGGGCUCCCUUGAGUGUAUACAACAGACUUCCGAAGGUCUCGAUGUGCUUGGUUCAAUACCAUACCGCAUGCGUAUCCAUGCCAAUGAUGAUAUCUAUGACACGACCCGUACCAAAAUGGCAAUUGCCGAAGAGACGGAGAAGAGUAAAUGUAUACGAGAAAUUAAGCCAAAUCAAACUGAUAUUGGACGUAAGGUAAAGAAAUCUGUUCCGUCAUCGACAGUCUAUCCGCAUUUGAGCCACGGUGGAAAUAACAAUGGCAACAACAACAAUAGCAGUAGUAAUUAUUUAAGUAGCCUUAGUCGUAGUAAAUUAACAACGUCGCUGAAUAGCAAUUCGCCACCAGCGUUAAAUAGCGGUAAUGUGACAAAUGAACGCGCUAACAAUAAACUUGGUGGCACAAAUUUGUCCACAUCAUCCUCAUCCUCACGUUCACCAAAUCCCACGCUUCUAGGCGGAUCGGGUACAAUUGCCAGUGGUAGUAGUAGCGCUAAUAAUCGUUAUGGCAACGGUAGUGCGAGCAAUAUAUAUUCUCAGAACAACUUAUCACCGUCACUACCAUCGCUAACAUCCGCCUCAUCGCUCUCUUCCACACUGGCAGGUGGCAUCUCCAACGGGUAUGCGUCAGCUACUCAACAUAAUUCGCCGAACGAAUCCACCACAUCUACAUUAGUUAAUAGUGGUGUUAACAGCAAACAGUCACGGCUGAACAGUAAUGCAGUUGGCGGUAAUGGCGGCAAUUUCUCACGCGGUGGAGGCGGUAGUUCGUUCUCUGGUAAUGGUUCGAAGGCGGGUGGUGGCACUAAAGGUGGCGCAGCAUCAAAUGCUAAUGGUGGAGGCGGCAAGUUACCUGACAUAUCGCGUCGUAAAAUACGUGAACGCCUGAUCCAUUUACUUGCCUUGCGGCCUUUCAAGAAGCCCGAAUUAUAUGCACGUUUACAGAAUGAAGGAUUACGUGAUCGUGAACGCUCACUUAUAAGUAAUAUACUCAAGGAUAUUGCACUUUCACGUGACAACACGUACAAUUUACGGCGCCAAAUGUGGAAUGACGUAAACGAAAAUUGGCCAUAUUACACUGAGCAGGAGCUACAGCAGCUAAAACGGCGCAAGCCCCAGAACCUAACUCCCCCACUUAGCUCAGAUGCGGGCAGUUCUACGUCAGGCCAGAGUCCAACUUCAACACACACGGGCAGCCCUCCUCCACUAGCUGGUGGUGGGGGGAUGAAUGGCGGCAACAGUUUGAAACGCACUAGUCUGGAGUACGAUGAGCCAUUUCCGCCGAAGAAGCAACGUAUUAGUCAUAUGGCGGCCACAGGAGCUAGUGUUAGUCGCAUGAAUGUGGCGAGCAAUAAUAACACUGGGGGUAACGGUGCACGUCCCGGAGCCAGUUUUGGUACCAUGAACAACAGCAAGAAUAGCGGUAACACCAAUUUCUCAAUGCAGCGCAAUAAACAUGCAACGGCUAAAGCGUCUACCUAUUCCCCACAAGGUCCUAGGAACGCCACGCAAAGUAGUGAGAAUUCCGGUAAUAGUGACCUAAGCUACAAUGUGCUCAAUAAUAUGGACGAUUUCAUGCUUAAUAUAGAAAAUCCUCAAGGAAGUGGUUAUACAGCUCAUAGCAACGGUAGUAGUGUCAACAGCAGCAACAAUAAUGCACGCAAGUCCAAUAGUAGCGGCAACAGUAAAUCAGCUGGCAGGAAUCCGAAAGAAAACCGUCACUCUGGUAACAACAGUGGUGCGUCCAGCGUAACAACAAAUAUUUCGCCGAAAAAUAAUACGAACAAUGGAAACGGGAACAAUAGCAAUUAUAAUAUACAAGAGAACGAAGGUAGCAGUAAUAAUCUGAAGCAUACCAUAAAACGUUGUGCAUUAGCAGGCUCGCCGAAGAGUUCCUUGCCAUAUGGUGUUAAUUUUGUUCCAGAGUCUAGUAGUAGUAAUAGUAGAGCAGCGGUACGCGAUAAUAGCAAUCGGAGUGGCAGUGGCAGUGCGAACUAUCGCCACCAGUCGCCCAACUAUGCGCAGCAGCAGCAGCAACAACAAAAGUCAAGUAAUAGUGUCAUAUACUCGCCAAAAAUGCACGCAACUAUGAACGCCGGUAAAAAUGAGCGUGAAGAGCAUGUUCCGGCGGGGAGAAAUAGUAGCAACAACAAAAGUCAGACAACGUCCCGUUCAAUGGGCUCAUCAACGGCAACGGCAUCAGGUAGUAGUAAACAGCAAAUGCGUGGAGUUGGUGUACGCUCACCAACGCCACCUGGACAAGAACAGCAACGGUACUUGCAACAGGGUACACAUUACCAAUCGCAACAAACGCAUUCCGCCAGCACAAACUCUCCAGUGCAACGGCAUAACAACCAAUCCCAACAUCUUCAUCAACAGCAGCAUCACCAGCAGUCACAGUUCGAAAGCAAUUCUCAACUGCCGGUAACACAGCAUUCCGCUAUCACCGAUGCAGUUGACGUAGACGCCGCAGAAACGCCAAAUUAUGAUUUUAGCAGCUACACAGAUAUCACAAGCAUUGAACAGCGACGCCAAUACAAGACUGAAUUCGAACGGGACUACGAUGAGUAUCGCCAGCUGUUGGAACGCAUCGAAGAUGUACGCCGCAACUUCCAAGUACUUGCUGAUCAACUGCAACGUGCGCCACAAGGUUGUUCUGAUUAUGAGCAUAUUAAAGAACAAAUUGUGGCCGAAUAUGAGCGUAUAAAUAAUGAGGAAGAGUUGAAGCGGGACAAACAACGUUUUGAUUACUUGCAUGCUAAGUUGGCGCACAUAAAGCAACUUGUGACCGAUUAUGAUAAAACAUUGACAUCAAUGGCGGCGGCUGCUGCUGCGGUGGCGGCAGCACAACACCAUCAACAGCAACAACAACAGCAACAAGAGCAACAACUAUUACAGCAUGCCUCGACCACAGCGGCUAUGCAUAUGGCAGCUGGCGCUACAACGCACUUUGUAGAUGGUAGUACCAAUGUGUUGACCGCUGCGACUGCGCAUAAUGCACGUGUCUCACCGAUGGUGAGCGGCAGCGAAAGCAAUCAUUCACCACCAAGUGGCUAUCAAAAUCAAACGCAAUACUUUUUUCAACAGCAGCAACAACAACCAAAUCUAAUAACACAACAACAAGAUCAACAUCAAAACAAUGAUGAGACCUUGCACAGAAAGAAAAAGCAUACACACAACACUUUACAACGGCACCACAACCAACAACAACAGCAGCAGUAUCAUCAACAAUACUAUUUGUCGCCGGAAAAUCAAACACACGCGUCAUCUUAUGAUGAACAACAUAGCGCACAGCAGCACCAACAACGGGAACAGGAACAGGAACGAUUCAAUGGUCACCAUCAUUAUCAGGGCAAUAAUAAUAGUAAUAAUGAUGAUUCCGAUUCAGAUGAUUCUUCCGACUCAAAUGAUGAAGACUCUAACGAUGAUGAUUCAAAUGAUGAUGACGACGAUAAUGGUUCGGAUCAUGACUCGAACAAUGAUGAUGACGUCAAUGGAAACUUUUGAUUUUGUGCUUAUUGGAGUGAGACUUCUUUAAUAUAAUACCUAUAUAAAAAUAACAAAAGGCAUAAGUAAUUGAAAAGCAGAAGGAUGAUUGAAUGAAUUUGCAAACGAGGCGUAUUUAUGCUAAAAGUGAUUUCCCUAGUUUGAAACGUAACUCGCUAAAGGUAUGCUUUUGUUGGUAUUUCUUGUUAUCAUUGAAUGUGGGAUCGCCGACACACCUAAGCAAAAACACACAAGUGCAUAUACAUAAAUACUUACUAUAUAGUAAAUAGAUUGCUUUUGUAAAUAUGUUUUUUUUUACUAUAAACAGGAUUAAUUAUUGAUUGUUCUAAAUACGCCCUGAUUGCAAAACUUCCGCAAAGUUUUGUAUUAAAAGGAAAGUAAAAAGGAAAUGAAUGCGAAAGUGAAUUUGAAAGUGUAAAGAGCGUAAAAUAUCCUAAAAACAAAAAACAAAACAAAAAAAUAUUUUAUUAUAAAAGAAGAAACGCAUAAGUAUAUCGUAAAAAUUUACUUAUCUUUAAAAAUAGUAUACACAUACAUAAUUAAAUAUAUUUUUAAAUCAAUUGAAAAACAAAAAACAAAACUAGAGCAAGCAGAAAUUUUAAGGAAAGAAGUAAUUGUGUAAUAAUUAGUUUUAAGUGGCAAAUGCCCAUAUUUGUUUUAGUUUUAUGCUUUUUUUGCCGUCUUACUACCUGUACAAUACAAAAUUUGGAAAUGUUUAUUGCAACCGUUUAUUAUGUGGGCGGGCACAGCUGUAAUAAUUAAAUAAAUUACAAGCAAAUGUUGAACUUGAAGUUAAAAAAAAAUAAAAAGUUAAAAAAUUAGUUAAAUUUGGUAUAAAUAGUUUUUUAUUUGUUACAAUUUGUUUGAAGGACGAGUGUGCUAAAAUUGUAUUUAGAAUACAUCCCACAGCUUACGACAAAUAUUCACUUGAAUUCGCUUAUUAAAAAUUUUAAUAUUUCGUUAUACAUAUGCAUAUACAUACGUACACAAGUAUAAUAAUUAAAAAAUUACAACAACACCAAAAAUCGUAAUAAAAAUGCACAGCUGAUAAAAGUAAUUAAAAAACGAGCUCAAUUCAUCUUACGUAUUUUGCUUCAAAAAUAUGAAAGCUUAAAAGAACAACAACAAAUACUUGUAACACACACUCACGCUCACAUACAUUUGCAAACGAUGCAAAAAAAAAACAAAUGAUGGAACUAAGAUUUUUUUUAAUAUAUUUUUGCUGCAGACUAUUAGAUGCAUUUUGCCUUAUUUUCUCGUUUCAUUAUUUCUUGCUUUUUAGUCUUUAAUUGCAUACUUUCAUAUGUAGGUGAGUAAAAAGAAUGCUAGUUGUGCAAUUUUUGUGGCAAAUUUGUGAAAGUUUACUUUUCUAAUUGUUGUUGAUUUGAAGAAUUAGUAUGCGCUUUUUUCUAGCCGUCAUAUACAUGCAUAUGUAUGUAUAAAUAAAAAUAUGUAUACAAAUAUGUUUGUAAGAAAGUGUCCAUAUGUAAGGAUACUCAAAAGAUUUGAAGUCAUGUAUUCCAAAAAAAAUUGACUCCAAAGAUCACCAAGUAUCCAAGUAUUUGUGUUAGUAAUUCUUGUUGUCAAGGCAAAAGUCGGUACUUUGAUAAAGAUAGUACUUCAACGCGAGUCUUCGAAAGUCAGUUUGACAUUGCUUUACGCGCAAUUUUCCCUUAACAUAUAAAAUGUGUAUAUUUCAUUGAGUAUAAUCGUGAAUAUCUACUGUUUCAUUUAGUUCGUUCGUUCGUUCGUACUUCACUAAUCUUAUUUUCUAUUGUAUAGAUAACGUACGUAUGUAUGUAUGCAUAUAAUUAUUGUCAUGGCGGCUAAAUGGCUAAUUAAGAAAUUCAAGCAUCCAGCAACAACAACUAUAAUCGAAAUAUGAUUUCAAAUCACAUCCUAGCUGAAAAAAUCAGUAGAACACUUUUUUUUAUAGUGAAACUGGUAUAAAUUACGUUAUGCGUUAUGAUUUUAUAUAUGUAUAUAUAAAUAUACGGUAUUAGUGUAUAUGUGAGAACGGUGAAUGAUUGAUAUAUGCAUAUGCAUUAAGCAAAAGAAAAAACGCAAACACUUUUAUUUAAAUUUCAAUGUUGAAGUGACUACACAAAUUGUUUGUACACUAUUAAUGUUAAGUUGAUAUUUUUGCACAACUUUGCUAACAGUUGUUAAUAACGAUUUUGGAGAAUUCGAAAUUUUCUUAAAUAGUUUAUGAGACUUAGGUCUUUUUUUUUGUUUUUGUAUUUAAUGAUAUUGUUAAUAACUAACUGAGUAAUUGAGAUUAAUUUAAAGUACAUAAUUUAUAUACUUAACAAAAUAAAAGCGAAAUUGUAAUAAAAACACAUUUUGUGUUGUCACCAAGCAACUUUUUUAAUUUGCUUCAAAACUAAAAAUGGCAAAUUUACAACCAUUCGUAUGUGAAGGAAAAUGGUAGUGGAAAAAGCAAAA